GGUAGAGCUCAGUGGUAGAGCACGUGCUUAGCAUGCAUGAGGUCCUGGGUUCAACCCCCAGUACC
rnacentral:tRNA from 1 species